rnacentral:rRNA from 1 species
UAAGGAAUAUUGGUCAAUGGAGGCAACUCUGAACCAGCCAUGCCGCGUGCAGGAAGACGGCCCUCUGGGUUGUAAACUGCUUUUAUUCGGGAAUAAACCUGCUUACGUGUAAGUAGCUGAAUGUACCGAAGGAAUAAGUAUCGGCUAACUCCGUGCCAGCAGCCGCGGUAAUACGGAGGAUCCAAGCGUUAUCCGGAUUUAUUGGGUUUAAAGGGUGCGUAGGCGGCUUAUUAAGUCAGGGAUGAAAGACGAUGGCUGAACCAUCGCAGUGCCCUUGAUACUGAUGAGCUUGAAUGAACUAGAGGUAGGCGGAAUGUGACAAGUAGCAGUGAAAUGCAUAGAUAUGUCACAGAACACCGAUAGCGAAGGCAGCUUACUGUGGUUUUAUUGACGCUGAGACACGAAAGCGUGGGGAUCAAACA